GGGUGAGUAAUGCCUAGGAAUCUGCCUGGUAGUGGGGGGACAACGUUUCGAAAGGAACGCUAAUACCGCAUACGUCCUACGGAGAAAGCAGGGACCUUCGGGCCUUGCGCUAUCAGAUGAGCCUAGGUCGGAUUAGCUAGUUGGUGAGGUAAUGGCUCACCAAGGCGACGAUCCGUAACUGGUCUGAGAGGAUGAUCAGUCACACUGGAACUGAGACACGGUCCAGACUCCUACGGGAGGCAGCAGGU
rnacentral:rRNA from 1 species